rnacentral:rRNA from 1 species
AUUGAACGCUGGCGGCAUGCUUUACACAUGCAAGUCGAACGGUAACAGGCCUUCGGGUGCUGACGAGUGGCGAACGGGUGAGUAAUGCAUCGGAACGUGCCCAAUCGUGGGGGAUAACGUAGCGAAAGUUACGCUAAUACCGCAUAAGCCCUGGAAGGGGAAAGGUGGGGGACCGCAAGGCCUCACGCGAAGUGGAGCGGCCGAUGUCAGAUUAGCUAGUUGGUAGGGGUAAACGGCCCACCAAGGCGACGAUCUGUAGCGGGUCUGAGAGGAUGAUCCGCCACACUGGGACUGAGACACGGCCCAGACUCCUACGGGAGGCAGCAGUGGGGAAUUUUGGACAAUGGGCGCAAGCCUGAUCCAGCCAUGCCGCGUGCGGGACGAAGGCC